CCCUUGCCAAUUUGCUGCCCCCGACAGCACCUGUUUCACAUGUCAUGGAAAGCUUCAUAUUCAAGAGAUUACUCGCUGCUGAUGUUUUGUCAUUAUGUGACUGGGGAAGACUUUCCUGUGAUGAUUUAAGUUGUUGCAUGGCAAGUUCAACAGCUUUUUUUCCCACCUAUAAAUCUUGGAUGUGAAGAAUUUAUAUAAUCCGUCUCCAUCUCAAUAAUGUUUGCUAUCAUACUCUCAGCUGGUUUAACACCAUCACGCAAGAACUUUCCUAUGACUUCAGCUAGAUGCCUUCUCAGAUUUGGAUAUCUCUGCAACUCAGCUGCUUGACAAGAGUGGCUCAUCUUUAUCAUUUCAUUGUACACAAAUCUUAGACACUGGAGGCUAGGGUCUAACAGUCGUGCCAUUUGCUUUCUAACCAAAACUUCAAAUGGUGCCUCUGGCACAAACAAAGCAUUUCCAGGACCAGUAGCAUUUUGAAUUGCUAUUCGAAUAUCAUCAUCAGUUAGAUCUUCACAAGGAUCCACUUCCUACAAAGACUCGAAUGCAGUUAGUAGCCAAUGCAGAUUUCAACAAAUAAAAGAGUAAAAACACAGGAAUUAAC
rnacentral:misc_RNA from 1 species